AUCAGUAAUCGCUCCUACCCUUGUUCAUGUUCAAGAUUUUCUAACUGUUCAAUCAUCCCUUGCUCUCGUAAGCGGUGUCACAGCUUUCACCGAGGGGGAUAGAAUAAGCUCUUUGUGACACCAACUAGAAAUAUCAUAAGAGAAGAAAGAUCAUAGCCUAGUUUAAAUGAAAGGUAGGGCACAAGGCUAUCCGUAAGUUCACUGGUGUCGUUGCUUAUCCCCUUUGCUUCAUUAAGAUUGGGUGAGUCCUCAGUGACUGGCCUUUCUCUUGUUGUUGUCAAGUGCCUACAGCUGCACUUAUUUCUUU
rnacentral:lncRNA from 1 species